rnacentral:lncRNA from 12 species
ACUGAGCCAUCCAAGUGAUUCUGUCACUCACUCUUUCUUUCUUUCUUUUCUUUCUUUCUUUCUUUCUUUCUUUCUUUCUUUCUUUCUUUCUUUCUUUUUUUUUUUUUUUUUUUUAAGAUUUUUAUUUAUUUAUUCAUAGAGACACAGGCAGAGACACAGGCAGAGGGAGAAGCAGGCUCCAUGUAGGGAGCCGGAUGUGGGACUUGAUCCUGGGCCUUCAGUAUCACAGCCCAGGCUGCAGGCGGCGGUAAACCGCCGCGCCACAGGGGCUACCCUCUGUCACUCUUUUUUAACAGCAUUUUUCUAACUACAUCAUUUUUUCCAGGGAAAUAAACAAUCUUUUCAUUCUUUCACAUGUGUUCAGAUCAUUAAUAACUGAAAAAAAAAUCUCAAUCAUACUACUUUUAGAAUGAUGAGCAUUUGUUUCAAGGCCUUACCAAGAAGGGACUGAGGAAUUACUCUUAAGACUCAUAAUAAUCAACGUAUUAUCUGUUUAUUAAAAAAAAGUCAAAGCAAUACCGCACAAAUUUUCAAAUGAUAUUAAAUUAAUUAUGGUGCUUGGUAUCCUGGAAAAAUAAAUUAUAAUUCAACUUAGGAUAAUGAUCAUGUUUUUGAAAAUGAUACUCAAAGGAAGUGCAAGUUACAUUCAUAAUCAUUCAGUACAAUAUAGGAUUGUAAAGAGUGUCAGGGCAAAAGGACAGAAGAGACAGACUUGAAGAUUUAUCUAAAAGUAUAAAUAGUCAAUGUGGGAGAAAACAAACAUGAUUUUUAUGAUUUCCUAAAUAUUUUUAAACAUGGAAGGGAAAUUUUCUCCUCUGUAUCAUAUGUUAAUUACAUUUUUGUUUGAAAAUCAUUUUCUGUUUGGGAUCACAUUUUUAAAUUUACUUUCAUUUUGUUUAAAGAUUUUACUUUUUUUUAUUCAUGAGAGACACAGAGAGAGAAAGGCAGAGACAUAGGCAGAGGGAGAAGAAGGCUCCAUGCAGGAAGCCCGAUGCAGGACUCAAUCCCAGGACUCCAGGAUCAUGCUCUGGGCCAAAGGCAGAUGCUCAACCGAUGAGCCACCCAGGCAUCCUAGGAUCACAUUUUUUAAAAAGAUACAGAUCAACCCAUUUGGAGAAGAAUGUGAUCAAAAGUGACAGCCUUGCUUCCUGGUCAGAGAAUCACCAAUGCAGGCACAUAUAUGCACAAGUUGGAAAUAAGGUAGGUAGGAAGUCUACUUCAAUUUCAAAACUCAAUUUGCUUUUAUAUCACUUCGUGUUUUAUUCAAACAUUUGUUCCUUUUUUUGUAAAACAAAAGGAAAAUUGCAUCCUUAGGACUCUGCUGUCAGGACUGACUAUGAUUUUAAGGGUGAGGAUAGUGUUUAUCCUGCCCUUGGAACUGACUGUCCACCACUGAGCAACACAUGAGGCAUCUCAGCAUCAUCUCAGCACUCGAUACUAUUUAUCAGGUGGGUGAACUUGACAAUGUAAUAUGAUGGUAUCAAAACUGGACCUUUGCAGAGUCAU